AAUCCGUUAUGAGGGCAUUUGGUUUGAUAACCCUUCAAGCGCUCUCAAGCUUCACAGAAGCUUUCAUUUUGCUUCUCAGUGAAUGCGGAUAUCUAAUUCCGGAGUCU
rfam:Arabidopsis thaliana chromosome 5, complete sequence.